CCCUACGGGGUGCAGCAGGCGCGAACACUUUACAAUGCGGGAAACCGCGAUAAGGGAACCCCGAGUGCCAGCAUCAAAUGUUGGCUGUCCGGAUGAUUAAAAAUCAUUUGUUAGCAAGGGCCGGGCAAGACCGGUGCCAGCCGCCGCGGUAACACCGGCGGCCCGAGUGGUAGCCGUUUUUAUUGGGUCUAAAGGGUCCGUAGCCGGCCUGAUAAGUCCUUUGGGAAAUCUGGCAGCUUAACUGUCAGGCUUCUAAGGGAUACUGUCAGGCUUGGGACCGGAAGAGGUAAGGGGUACUCCAGGGGUAGGAGUGAAAUCUUGUAAUCCCUGGGGGACCAUCUGUGGCGAAGGCGCCUUACCAGAACGGGUCCGACGGUGAGGGACGAAAGCUAGGGGAGCAAACCGGAUUAGAUACCCGGGUAGUCCUAGCUGUAAACGAUGCUCGCUAGGUGUCAGACACGGUGCGACCGUGUUUGGUGCCGCAGGGGAGCCGUUAAGCGAGCCACCUGGGAAGUACGGUCGCAAGGCUGAAACUUAAAGGAAUUGGCGGGGGAGCAC
rnacentral:rRNA from 1 species